UAAGGAAUAUUGGACAAUGGAUGCAACUCUGAUCCAGCCAUGCCGCGUGAAGGAAUAAGGCCCUAUGGGUUGUAAACUUCUUUUAGACGGGACAAAACCCCUUUACGUGUAAAGGGUUGAUGGUACUGUCAGAAUAAGCAUCGGCUAACUUCGUGCCAGCAGCCGCGGUAAUACGAAGGAUGCAAGCGUUAUCCGGAAUUAUUGGGUUUAAAGGGUGCGUAGGCGGACUAAUAAGUCAGUGGUGAAAGCCUGCAGCUUAACUGCAGAAUUGCCAUUGAUACUGUUAGUCUUGAGUACAGUUGAGGUAGGCGGAAUGUGUCAUGUAGCGGUGAAAUGCUUAGAUAUGACACAGAACACCGAUUGCGAAGGCAGCUUGCUAAGCUGUAACUGACGCUGAGGCACGAAAGCGUGGGGAGCAAACA
rnacentral:rRNA from 1 species